rnacentral:rRNA from 1 species
AGCCGGGGUUUCUUUACCAGAUACUGUCAUUAUCAUCUCUGGCGAAAGAGCUUUACGACCCUAAGGCCUUCGUCACUCACGCGGCAUGGCUAGAUCAGGCUUGCGCCCAUUGUCUAAGAUUCCC